rnacentral:rRNA from 1 species
AGUACCCGUAGGAAAAGAAAUCAAUUGAGAUUCCCCCAGUAGCGGCGAGCGACCGGGGAAGAGCCUGCAUGUAAUAGCUUAUGGAUUAGUGGAACGGUCUGGAAAGUCCGGCGAUAGAGGGUGAUAGCCCCGUACACGAAAAUCUGAAAGUGGUACUGAGCAUGCGAUAAGUAGGUCGGGACACGUGAUAUCUUGACUGAAGACGGGGGGACCAUCCUCCAAGGCUAAGUACUCCU